rnacentral:rRNA from 1 species
GACUACUGGGGGCUGCAGUAGGGAAUCUUCCACAAUGGGCGCAAGCCUGAUGGAGCAACACCGCGUGAGUGAAGAAGGGUUUCGGCUCGUAAAGCUCUGUUGUUGGAGAAGAACGUGCGUGAGAGUAACUGUUCACGCAGUGACGGUAUCCAACCAGAAAGUCACGGCUAACUACGUGCCAGCAGCCGCGGUAAUACGUAGGUGGCAAGCGUUAUCCGGAUUUAUUGGGCGUAAAGCGAGCGCAGGCGGUUGCUUAGGUCUGAUGUGAAAGCCUUCGGCUUAACCGAAGAAGUGCAUCGGAAACCGGGCGACUUGAGUGCAGAAGAGGACAGUGGAACUCCAUGUGUAGCGGUGGAAUGCGUAGAUAUAUGGAAGAACACCAGUGGCGAAGGCGG